rnacentral:tRNA from 1 species
GGUCCCGUAGCUCAACUGGAUAGAGCAGUUGACUUCUAAUCAACAGGUUCGGGGUUCGAGUCCUCGCGGGAUCG